rnacentral:rRNA from 1 species
UACGUAGGGUCCGAGCGUUGUCCGGAAUUAUUGGGCGUAAAGGGCUCGUAGGCGGUUUGUCACGUCGGGAGUGAAAACUCAGGGCUCAACCCUGAGCGUGCUUCCGAUACGGGCAGACUAGAGGUAUGCAGGGGAGAACGGAAUUCCUGGUGUAGCGGUGGAAUGCGCAGAUAUCAGGAGGAACACCGGUGGCGAAGGCGGUUCUCUGGGCAUUACCUGACGCUGAGGAGCGAAAGUGUGGGGAGCGAACAGG